CUUUUUAGGAAAAAUGCAAGUAACAGAUGCAAAUGCAACUAGAAGAAGUAAUCAAAAGUGGUUAAAAAAAGGUAGAGGUAAUCAAAAGAGUUAUAGAAGUAAUUAGAAGAAGAAAGUCUCUAAUGAUAAGUGAGAUGUGGUGUAGGUUUGCCACUUGGUUCCACACAAAAAAAAAUCUGUCGGGAGGGACAAAGCAUAUCACGUGUUGUCCUUGCUAGUUAUGUUGUGUCAGUUCGGCCCUCAAGUUCUCGCGGGCCGGACAUUUAAUCACCUCCAUAGGUAUAAAAUACAAUAAAAGUAUUUAAAGUUUUAAAAUAUAAGUCAGAUAAAUUUUUGAGAAUUUUUUGGGAUUAUUCGUAAAAUAACCAAAGAAAAAAGAAAAAUUGUUUUUUUAGAAAAAUGAUAGAAAAGAUAAGAAGAGAAAAGAUGAAAAAGGUGUUAUUUUAGUUAGUUAGUGAAUUAUAGUCUUUUUGAGAUUAAUUUGUCUUUGACAAUUAACUGUAUCUUAUCUUUAUAUAUGUUAUAAAAUAUUUACAUAUUUAUUAUAUAAUUAGGUGUUUUGUCCGCAAUGCGACCACAAAAAUGUUACUAAUUUUUAUUAAUAAAUAUAUUAUUAAUUCAAAAUCAGUAAAAUAUGCCUAUAUUUAUAAUUUAAUAUAAAUAUAUUAGGGUGCUUAAUCUGAAGAUAAAUUACAUAUUAUAAAAUAAUAGCAUAUGUAACUUGAUUUAUAGAUUAUAUUAUUAAUAAUUAUGUAUAAUAGCAAAAGAAUAAUAUGAUUGAGUAUAUCAAACGAUGGGAAUUUUAUCUAUCAUUAUUAUAUAAUAAUAUUGAUGGUAAACAUAGUUUUAGUCAAAGAUUAUCCAUUAGCCCUUUUAAAUUAUAUAUUAUAAAAUUUAUAUAAUACAAUAUAAACUAUUUUUAUAUAAUGAUAAUCAUCAAAUUAACAAAAUCCAUUUUUAUUUUGUGGUUAAUUAUAUAUUAAAUAAUAUAAUUAUUCAUUAAGGUUAAUAAUGACUAUAUAAGACAAUAUAAAAUACUUUUAGAUAAUGAUAAUUAUCAAAUCAAUGAAUUUCGUUUUUAACUGAUGGUUAGUUAUAUAUUAAAUCAAGGAAUUUUGUUUUUAAUUUAUGUUAAUUAUAUAUUAAUAGAUUUAACAAUUUAUUAACAGUAUUAACGACUUUAACCGCUCUAAUCCGAAAAAUCACUUCACAAAUAAUAGUGUUGAAAAUUUAGGAAAACAUGUGAAUCAUCUUCUCAUAACCGGGAUGAUUUUUUUAUGCGAGAUGAAUUUGCAUUACUUCGACUGCAAGUAAUAUUAGUUAUAAAAAAAGAAAACGAAGAUUCAAAUUGUUACCUUCUCGAUGACUUGCUUAGAGGCCGGAGCAUUACAAGAUCCAAGGGUGAAAUUUCAACAAGUCUCAUUUGGGUUUCUGAAGCUAGCAAAUUCCACCGCGGCUGUCUUUUUAGUACCGGAACACUUGAGAUCAGCCGUGAGAAAAACAUUUUUUUUUUUUUGAGAAAAGCUGUGAGAAAACAUCAUCAGUGAAUGCUUGGAUUUUGUCAUUUUUCUUGGUCCAGUGUCGGACACUAGGAGGGUAGUUUUCUCCAAUGUAAGAAAACACAGUGUCUCUGUUGAUGAUGACAAAGUCGAUAAGCUUUGGCUUCACAUUUAGCUCUUCCUCAAAUAUAACCAGAAGAUUAUUCUUGGGCUUCAAGAAAGACCUAGGUUUAUGAUACUCUACUUGCGUAGGCUUUUUAAAGGCAAUAAAAACAACAUCCAAUAUCGACCAACACCUUCUUAUUCACCCAAAUCAAACCUUUCCCCAUUCCAUUCAGCCUAAUUGCUACUGAGUUUUUGCUCUCUGGCGCAUCAAAGUGUGUUUGUAUUCACCUCACGCGUUGUUCAUUAGAUAUAUAUGUGCUACCCAAAUUCUCCAAUAUAUGCUGAACUAUGAUCAUAAACCCUUUUAUUUUAUUUUGGAAUGUUUACUAUUUCUACCUAGUACCAUGUAAGUCCUGAUGCUUUUCUUGAGAAUUUCUGCCAUUUAACCUUCUUUAAAUGAAACAUUGGUUUCUACCCCAAUUUUUUUUUUUGAAAAAGAUUAUAUAGAUAUAGACCACCAAAUUUAUAAAAAACAGUUUUUUUUAUUUAAAUCUUUGCUAAAUUGUCUACAGACACCCAAAUCUCAGGGCCGGCCUUGCAUAUGAUUGUCCAAUAUACAUAGGUUUGAUAGCGUAGAUUUAUCAUCUUAGCAUUGGGUUUGAGAGUGUUACAUAGGUAAUUUGUUCUCUUCUCCAUUUCCUUUAGACUGUCAUUAGUCAUUACCGAUGACAAAAUACUGGAAAAUACAUAGGUCAGUCCUCUCUGCGAUGCGGUGUUAAGCUAUAUCUUUCUUCUUUAAAAAAAAAAGAGUGACAAAAAAAUUUUAGACACCAUCAUGUUUCCGAGCCUUUAGUAUAUGGUAACAUACUACUUCGAUUCUGAGGUUGCCUUGAAACUGUGAUUACUUCUGAUUUAGGUAACUCUCAUAACAAAAUAAAAAACUCUUCAAGAAAACACACACCAAGAUGGGGACGUGAGGAUAUACUUGUGGAACCCAAGGCCUUAAUACAUGUGAAUGGGGGCCAAGAUGGGGUUUAUAGAUGAUAAACUAAGAUUUACAAACUCUUGUCCCAUUUAAAAAACCUAAUGUCUGUUUAUAUAUUGCUCUUGUCAAAUUUUAGAACGCUAUUAACCCUUUGACAACAUCUAUCUCGAGUGCUAAACGGAGUGGAUAAUGCUGAUGCACUAUCAUAUACUACAGUAGAAUCAGAGUUAUUGCACAAACAGAAGGCUUUGCCAAUGUUAACUGAGUAAAGAAGUCCGGUCGUUGCUUAAAGAUAUUUCUGAAGCUAUGAAUAAUGGAACAAGUACGUGUGCUUGUGAUUUAUACAUGAACAAGGAACGAAGAGGAACAAUGAAUUUUUUAAUAUUCUUAAAAAAAUUUAACAUUUAUAAAGAAUAAUUUUUCUUUUCUAUUUUUUCUUAUUUUUUUUAUUCCAGACAAAUAUAAAAUAAAUUUGUUCAUCUCUAAAUAUGAUAAGAUUCUUUUCCAAUCCAUUCUCUAUCUUUCUGUGAUGCUUAUGAAAUCAUUAUCCCUCUUUUCAAAAGCUUCCUCUACGUAAUUAAAACAGUUGAUCUGAUGAUGAAGCAGAUGAUCUGGUGUUAUCUAUCGCAUGGAAUCCUACUAUAUAAAAGGAGCUAAAUCCUUGCUUCCUAAGCCUAUCCACAUGUGCACAAAUAUUCAGGACCAACCAAUAUGCCAGGUCAUCACGAAGUGGGCUUGCAAUUAAAAAAAACGAAAUCUUCGCGGCCCAGUCCAUAGCCUCAUCUCGCAGCCUCUCUUGAUACGGAUUUUGUCACAGCCCAUUAAGCCCAACUCCCAGACCAAUCCAGAGACGCUCUUACGGUUCGGGUUAUAUCGCCCCUUUCUCUGAAAUCAUCGUCCCUAAUCCUAAGCGCCGUCUCGAUCUCUUUCUCGAUUCUCUUCCUCUCCCCCAACUCAUCCCCCAUAACGCCUCCGAUGAGAGUUCUGGUACUUCAAUGUGCUCUCAUAAAUCCUCCAUUCAAGAUCUCUACAGACCUUCCACAUCCGCUCUCCGUCUUGAUGAUAUCUAGAUCCCUAUUUAUACCCUUACCUCAGAUCGUAAAAUCCAUACCCGUACCUCAGAUCGUAAAAUACAUACCCUCAUCAUGGCGAAAACGGCGAAAACGACUGCGAUCCGCACCGGCAAAGCUUCUCCUCCUCUCCUCUUCCGACAUGUUUCACCAGGGCCAGACGAUUCCACCUUGAAGUUUAGGCUUCUUCAUUUCUGGGAAGCUCGCAAGAAUGUCAAAGGAGGACCAGGGAUCCUUCUUGGGAUCGAGAUGCUUAUGAUCAAUGCAGAGGUAUGUCUUCAUUUUUCAUUAUAUUAUCGAACAUUAGGUUGAGAUGUUAGCGUAUGUUGGAAAACAAAAAUUUGAUUGAUUAAAAUAAAAACUUGAUUGAUUCAUAAAAAACUUGAUUGAUUAAAAUAAAAACUUGAUUGAUUCGUUUGAAUUAUAUUACCGUCUCUUUCAUUGGUUUUCCUUGGCCUCUUUUCGAGAAAAAAAAUUGAUUGAUUCGUUUGAAUUAUAUUAGCGUAUCUUUGAUUGAUUAGAGAGAUUUGUUUCUGUUGCUUUAAACGCUUAAUAAUUUUAAUCACUCUGAAAAAACACUUGGUUUAGCUUAUCUUUUAUUAUAUAUUAGCUUAUCUUUGAUUGGUUUUUCUCUUUCAUUAUUCACUUGAGAGUGCUUUGAUAGAGAUCGGAUAAAUAUUUGAACCCUUAUAAUUUUAGUUGAACGCUUUCAACUGACUCGAUAUUGUAUCUCUGUUCUGUAGGGUACUUUGGCUCAGGGGUUCAUCGGCCAGAAUUGUCGCAACCAGUAUGAGAAAGAGCUCCAGCGUGGGAGCAUCUACACACUGACAAACUUCUAUGCAUCCAACAGCAAGGUGAUGUACCAUGUUGCUGAUCAGAGGCUGAUAAUUUGCAUCUCACACGCUUCUGCCCUGUCAAAGGAUGAAGAAGACAUUGAAGGCAUUUUGACAGAGCGCUUCAGGGUCCGUUCCUUUUCGGAAUUUGAAGCCAACUGCGAUCUCAGAGGGGAUCUUCACGGUACGGUUUAAAUAUUUUCUUAUCAUGUUUAACCAUUCCAAUCGGUUAACUUUGUAUUGCGUGUAACUGUUUGUUGUAGAUGUUGUUGGCCACCUUAAGCUGGUUGAUGGCCAGGCUCUCCAUCAGCGUCAGGUUUUGUGCACCAAUGAUGACUCAGCUUCUCGGAAAGUGAUGGUCCAUUUGCAGCUUAAAGACGGUCCAGUGAUGAACGUCUAUCUAUGGGACGAGGCCGCUGAAAGUUUCCGCCUCAAGUUUGACGCAAGUGCAGCCACUCCAACUGUUCUAUUGGUCACAACGGUCAAUCCUAAGAGGCUCGGUGGGAAAUUGUGCCUAAGUUCAAUGUCCUCUUCAAGAGUGUUUUUGGAUGAAGAGGUUGACCCCACCAAUGAAUACUUGGCAUGGUUAGUAUUUUAUUUUUUUAGAAACAAUCUAUAGUUUAGACUAUUAUGUGUUUAACACCUUUGAUGAUCGCCUGAUUUAAAAUUCUUUGCAAGGUUGACCACGAACCCUUCUGUAACUUCUUUGGUGAACCCCGUUGAGGUGGUCAAAGCUGAGACUCUCACAAUAGGUGAGAUUGCCGCCUUCCUCAAGCGUCAGCCUGCUCAGGUUGCCUACUUUGACUGCAUUGCCACAAUUGAUGAUGUCAAGCUUGGCACUGAGUGGUAUUACAUUGCUUGCAAGGAUUGCAAGGAUUGCCAGACCAAGUUAAACCGUGGGCCGACAACAUUGCUUUGUCCAAAAUGCGGGAAUGAAAAUGCUACUGCAGUAGCCAAGUAAGUUUCUCCUCUCAAAUAUGUUUUCAAGCGACAAUGUAUAUACUAAUCAUUUGGUUUUUAACCAGCUAUCGGGUGGAGCUGUCUGUCUAUGAUAAUGAUGAGCAGUGCACGUUCAUCAUUCUCGGAGAUGCUGGGAAAGAUCUCACAGGCAGGAAAGCAACAGAGUUGAUCGAUGCUUAUGUUCAUGUAAUUGUUGUUCUGAUGAUAAAUGAUAAUUUCCAUAAUCUUGACACUUAUUUUAAUCAGAGAGUCUACCAAGUUGAUAAAUGUAUUCUGUUAUAUUAGGAAAAUGGUGGAGAUGCGGCUGAGCUUGAAGUUCCACUGCCACAGUGUUUCAUUGAUACAAUAGGCCAGACAAAGAAAUUCAGGAUCAAGGUGGCUCACUACAACUUCACUUCUACCCGACUGUCCUUGACCGCUACCAAGAUAGUCUCACCAGCAGAGUUACCAACAAAGAAUCCCCCACUCAAGACGCCACCAGGAACUGAAGUGGAGAACACAGAGUUGGCUGAGAGUAGUGGUGGUGGUGCUUCAGCUAUUGACGACCAGAAGAAAGCAAAGCGUACCAAGUGUAGUGGCUAGAUCACAUGCAGAAUGGUCACUCUAUUAGUGGCUGGUACAGACUGUCCAGUCAGGAUGAUUCUCUAAUAAUAGUCUACUUAUCUCUCUUUAAUCAUUUUGUUUUUGCUUCUUGCUAAGACAGUUUAGGAUUGGAAACACGUUAUGGUUUGGUUUUCUUAUUUGAGUUAUUUGGUUUUUAUUCAUAGCUUUGUUAUGAAGUUUAAGAAUGAUCAGCAUUAUCAUAUUAAAGUUGUUUGGUUUUCAUUCCUAACUUAUUAAAAUUGUUUGAUCAGCAUGCAUUUUACAUACGUAUACGUACUUAAGAACCUAAUGCAUGCAUGGAUUGGUUUAUGUCCAUGCUGAUAUUAAUUUAAUUAAAGCAACUGUAAUAUUAGCUGCAUACUGAUUCGUAUACGUUGUUGGAGGUUUUUUGAAUUUAUAAAUUCAUUUUUGAAUUAAAAUAUUAUUAGUAUUGAUAUAUUAAUUUAAUACUUUAAUUCAAACUUACUGUUGUUUUUUUAAAAAAAAUUGAUCACCGCUUCCAACAUCUUCCCAUUAUAAAAUAAACAAAACUUAGCUUUCCCUUUCAAAAACUUAAAAACUCCAAAUUUUAAUUGAGCUGACUUUUAUUAAACAUGUAAUCCGCGCGAAGCGCGGACACCGACCCUAGUGUAUUGUAAAGGGCUAAAGGCUAACGCAUAUUUUGGUCUACGUUACUUUUUUUUAUAAAGAAAAAAAAACGAACUGUUUCGAUAAAAAAAACAAAAUGAAACGUGGGGC